rnacentral:tRNA from 1 species
GGUGGCUCAGCAGUAGAGUGCUUGCCUUGCAUGCAUGAGGCCCUGGGUUCGAUUCCUCAGUACCA